CAGCUUCCUUUACCUGGAGCAGCGUAAGAGCAGAUUUGAGUACCACACUCGAAUUUAUAUUUAGCGUAUACAUUAGAAUCAUAUGGUAAAUCUGGGUUCAUGAACUUAAUCUAGACACUCAACCAAGUUGUAGUCUUGUAGAGGUCUUAAAUAGCUCGAUAAAUGGAGGCAGCAAAGAAAGAAGCAGGGUAUAUGGAUGCUAGUAUUCAGGUAACUUACUUUCCUGGAUCUUAUGAUAAAAUCUUGGUAGACUUGUAGUUAAAAGUGUCUUACUUGGAUCUGCGCUGGUGAGUUGUGCAGCCCCUCCAAAGUUGCAGCUGUCUGAACCAGGAUGCUUCUGGUAAUAACUAUUGAAAGCAAAGGAUGCAUGAUCACGAAUGGUGUUAGGCUCGUAACAGCUUGCACCUUGUUGGAUCUGGCCACAAUCAGCUCCUCCAUACCCACAAGCGUAAUCCAAAGCCACUUGUAAUGAUGUUGGCGAAGCAGUUGCUUUCGCUAUACACCACUGACCUCCACUGCCUCCACCACCACCACCAUUAUCACCACCGCCGCCUCCACCAG
rnacentral:lncRNA from 1 species